rnacentral:rRNA from 1 species
CUACGGGUCGCUGCAGCGGGGAAUAUUGCACAAUGGGCGCAAGCCUGAUGCAGCCGUGCCGCGUGUAUGAAGAAGGCCUUCGGGUUGUAAAGUACUUUCAGCGGGGAGGAAGGGAGUAAAGUUAAUACCUUUGCUCAUUGACGUUACCCGCAGAAGAAGCACCGGCUAACUCCGUGCCAGCAGCCGCGGUAAUACGGAGGGUGCAAGCGUUAAUCGGAAUUACUGGGCGUAAAGCGCACGCAGGCGGUUUGUUAAGUCAGAUGUGAAAUCCCCGGGCUCAACCUGGGAACUGCAUCUGAUACUGGCAAGCUUGAGUCUCGUAGAGGGGGGUAGAAUUCCAGGUGUAGCGGUGAAAUGCGUAGAGAUCUGGAGGAAUACCGGUGGCGAAGGCGGCCCCCUGGACGAAGACUGACGCUCAGGUGCGAAAGCGUGGGGAGCAAACAGGAUUAGAUACCCGAGUAGUC